rnacentral:rRNA from 1 species
GGGUUGUGAGGUUAAGCGACUAAGCGUACACGGUGGAUGCCCUGGCAGUCAGAGGCGAUGAAGGACGUGCUAAUCUGCGAAAAGCGUCGGUAAGGUGAUAUGAACCGUUAUAGCCGGCGAUGUCCGAAUGGGGAAACCCAGUGCAAUUCAUUGCACUAUCGUUAACUGAAUACAUAGGUUAACGAGGCGAACCGGGGGAACUGAAACAUCUAAGUACCCCGAGGAAAAGAAAUCAACCGAGAUUCCCCCAGUAGCGGCGAGCGAACGGGGAGCAGCCCGGAGUCUGAAUCAGCUUGUGUGUUAGUGGAAGCGUCUGGAAAGUCGCAGGGUACAGGGUGAUACUCCCGUACACUAAAACACACAGGCUGUGAACUCGAAGAGUAGGGCGGGACACGUGGUAUCCUGUCUGAAUAUGGGGGGACCAUCCUCCAAGGCUAAAUACUCCUGACUGACCGAUAGUGAACCAGUACCGUGAGGGAAAGGCGAAAAGAACCCCGGCGAGGGGAGUGAAAAAGAACCUGAAACCGUGUACGUACAAGCAGUAGGAGCCCACCUGUUGGGUGACUGCGUACCUUUUGUAUAAUGGGUCAGCGACUUAUAUUCUGUAGCAAGGUUAACCGUAUAGGGGAGCCGCAGGGAAACCGAGUCUUAACUGGGCGUUAAGUUGCAGGGUAUAGACCCGAAACCCGGUGAUCUAGCCAUGGGCAGGUUGAAGGUUGGGUAACACUAACUGGAGGACCGAACCGACUAAUGUUGAAAAAUUAGCGGAUGACUUGUGGCUGGGGGUGAAAGGCCAAUCAAACCGGGAGAUAGCUGGUUCUCCCCGAAAGCUAUUUAGGUAGCGCCUCGUGAAUUCAUCUUCGGGGGUAGAGCACUGUUUCGGCUAGGGGGUCAUCCCGACUUACCAACCCGAUGCAAACUACGAAUACCGAAGAAUGUUAUCACGGGAGACACACGGCGGGUGCUAACGUCCGUCGUGAAGAGGGAAACAACCCAGACCGCCAGCUAAGGUCCCAAAGUCAUGGUUAAGUGGGAAACGAUGUGGGAAGGCCCAGACAGCCAGGAUGUUGGCUUAGAAGCAGCCAUCAUUUAAAGAAAGCGUAAUAGCUCACUGGUCGAGUCGGCCUGCGCGGAAGAUGUAACGGGGCUAAACCAUGCACCGAAGCUGCGGCAGCGACACUAUGUGUUGUUGGGUAGGGGAGCGUUCUGUAAGCCGUUGAAGGUGGCCUGUGAGGGUUGCUGGAGGUAUCAGAAGUGCGAAUGCUGACAUAAGUAACGAUAAUGCGGGUGAAAAACCCGCACGCCGGAAGACCAAGGGUUCCUGUCCAACGUUAAUCGGGGCAGGGUGAGUCGACCCCUAAGGCGAGGCCGAAAGGCGUAGUCGAUGGGAAACAGGUUAAUAUUCCUGUACUUGGUGUUACUGCGAAGGGGGGACGGAGAAGGCUAUGUUGGCCGGGCGACGGUUGUCCCGGUUUAAGCAUGUAGGCGGAUGUUCCAGGUAAAUCCGGAACGUCACUAACGCUGAGGUGUGAUGACGAGGCACUACGGUGCUGAAGUGACAAAUGCCCUGCUUCCAGGAAAAGCCUCUAAGCAUCAGGUAACAUCAAAUCGUACCCCAAACCGACACAGGUGGUCAGGUAGAGAAUACCAAGGCGCUUGAGAGAACUCGGGUGAAGGAACUAGGCAAAAUGGUGCCGUAACUUCGGGAGAAGGCACGCUGAUGGUAAGUGAAGUGACUUGCUCACGGAGCUGAAAUCAGUCGAAGAUACCAGCUGGCUGCAACUGUUUAUUAAAAACACAGCACUGUGCAAACACGAAAGUGGACGUAUACGGUGUGACGCCUGCCCGGUGCCGGAAGGUUAAUUGAUGGGGUUAUCCGUAAGGAGAAGCUCUUGAUCGAAGCCCCGGUAAACGGCGGCCGUAACUAUAACGGUCCUAAGGUAGCGAAAUUCCUUGUCGGGUAAGUUCCGACCUGCACGAAUGGCGUAAUGAUGGCCAGGCUGUCUCCACCCGAGACUCAGUGAAAUUGAACUCGCUGUGAAGAUGCAGUGUACCCGCGGCAAGACGGAAAGACCCCGUGAACCUUUACUAUAGCUUGACACUGAACACUGGUCCUUGAUGUGUAGGAUAGGUGGGAGGCUUUGAAGUGUGGACGCCAGUCUGCAUGGAGCCGUCCUUGAAAUACCACCCUUUAAUGGCUGGUGUUCUAACGUGGGCCCGUAAUCCGGGUUGCGGACAGUGUCUGGUGGGUAGUUUGACUGGGGCGGUCUCCUCCUAAAGAGUAACGGAGGAGCACGAAGGUCAGCUAAUCCUGGUCGGACAUCAGGAGGUUAGUGCAAUGGCAUAAGCUGGCUUGACUGCGAGCGUGACGGCGCGAGCAGGUGCGAAAGCAGGUCAUAGUGAUCCGGUGGUUCUGAAUGGAAGGGCCAUCGCUCAACGGAUAAAAGGUACUCCGGGGAUAACAGGCUGAUACCGCCCAAGAGUUCAUAUCGACGGCGGUGUUUGGCACCUCGAUGUCGGCUCAUCACAUCCUGGGGCUGAAGUAGGUCCCAAGGGUAUGGCUGUUCGCCAUUUAAAGUGGUACGCGAGCUGGGUUUAGAACGUCGUGAGACAGUUCGGUCCCUAUCUGCCGUGGGCGCUGGAGAAUUGAGGGGGGCUGCUCCUAGUACGAGAGGACCGGAGUGGACGCAUCACUGGUGUUCGGGUUGUCAUGCCAAUGGCAUUGCCCGGUAGCUAAAUGCGGAAGAGAUAAGUGCUGAAAGCAUCUAAGCACGAAACUUGCCCCGAGAUGAGUUCUCCCUGACUCCUUGAGAGUCCUGAAGGAACGUUGAAGACGACGACGUUGAUAGGCCGGGUGUGUAAGCGCAGCGAUGCGUUGAGCUAACCGGUACUAAUGAACCGUGAGGCUUAACCUUACAACGCCGAAG